rnacentral:rRNA from 4 species
UUGACCUCGAAUCAGGUAGGGAUACCCGCUGAAC